rnacentral:misc_RNA from 1 species
UUUUGCUUGAAGAGUCUUGUUGCUAUACACUGCGAUUUGUUGCCGUCAUUUUACGACUGUGUUUGCCUCACCAAAGUGUUUCCUUGUCGCCUGCAGGUUAUCUUGACGAACUCUUGAGCCUGUAUUGAGAUUACAAGGAGUGUUUGCAAGAGUAACACCUGACUCAAGCUCCGCCAGCCUCAGCCCAAGAUGCAUUGAAAGCUGUUCUGAUCUCAGCCUUAGCUACAGCGAUGACAAGCUCAGCCAAACCACAAGCUCCACUAGUCUUGUUUCUGUCCAUCCGUCAGAGAGCAUCAUCUGUAUCAGCAGCUCGGAGAGUGUCAUUUCCAUCAGCAGCUCAGAGAGCGUCAUCUCCAUUACCAGCUCACACUCUGUCAUUUCUGUUGCCAGCUCAUCUUCAUGUGAUGAGGCAUCAGCACAGGCCUUCACCAACCCAUCCCAGCCUUCUCCCUCCCUGCCUGUCAAUCUGCAGACCCUGUUCUACCAUGACCUGCCCUACUAUCAGUGGACCUCCUUCUCCAACCCAGCCAGCCCCUCCAUCAGCUUCACUGACCUCCUCCUCCCUGCUACAUCUGUCAGCUGUUCUGAGACCCCGCUCACUGAGAUCCCAUGCUGCAGCUCCUCCAACUACUCUCCUGUGACUGGAUCCAUGCUUGUCAUCAGGGAUGUGGCAGACAGAAAGAGGAAGAGAGAUGAUGGUGGGGAUGACGACGAUGAUGAUGGAUUGCCUCUAAAGAGGCAGUGUCAGUAAGUGGGUUGACUGGUAAGUUGGUUCAACAGGUACCAGUUAAACAUUCUGUUGAGCCCAUAUUCUAUACAUUGUACAUACUCAUUAUUAUCUUGUCAUAUCCGUUUAAGUCCAUACUAUUUCCUGCUCAGCAUCUAUCUUGCCCUAUCCUGUUUUUAUUCCCCUCUGUCCUGUUUCAGUAUUGGUACUCGCCUACCAUCAAAACACAUGUAUUUUCAGUUCUAACUCCAACCCCUAUUUUCCCCAAAACAUUAUAUUUUCUUAUAACAAUACACUUGUCAAUGAUCAUUUUACGUUUCAGAAGGGAAUACAACGUGUGUAAUUAGUUAAAAUUUAGUUAAAAGUUAUGAUUUAGAGUUUAGUAUAAAGGAAUAAAUUAUUGUAAUGAAUAACGACAUUUUAAAAACUAAGUUUAAAAUGUAAAAUUAAAAAGUCAAAUUGAGAAACAUCAACAUAAAGAAUAUAUGAAUGUCAUAGAUAAUAUAGAAAUUGGAACAUUUGGAUGAAUAACUAAACUUGUCAUCACACUUGUCUAAGACGCUAGAAUAUGAUUUGAAUUGCCAGAAGGAUAUACAGUGUGUUUGUUGUUCAGAUUUUAGUACCCAGAUGAAUAAGUAUGAAUUAUUUCUUUUUAAAAGCUCAUUAAAUUAUUCAAUUAUUCUAAUGAAUAACAUGGAUGAUAGUUUAGACAUUCAGGUCGUAGUUAAAAGUAAUAUUUUGAUUAUUACUUAAUUGAGAAAUAUAAAAGGGAUAAACGUUCUCAUCAAAAUUGGGGAAAAGGACCGAUUAGCUGUAGUCAUCAGAUUUAAUUCAGGUUAUAGAGAGAUGGUUAAAAGUGACGUUUUGAUGAUUAAACUGCAGCAGAGUAAAGAGUGAGAAGGUUCUUUAUGGUAGUACUAAUAUAUAGGUGGAUACAUGGUGAUGCCACUUUUAAAGAAGAAAAGAAUAAACAUAAAAAUAAAUCAUUAUUUGAUUCUGACUUUUCAUAAUAUACAACAACAAAAAAUAGAUGUUAAGGAGUAACAUUUUAAUUAAACUUGGCAGAUGUAGGGGUAAACAGGUCUUAAUCAAUAGCUAGUGGUACAUACUACAUAGAUGGCAAAGAGUGAAGGUGAGAUAAAUAAGUAAACUUGGCACUGCAAGAGGUCAAAUCUUUGUAGUCAAUAACAAAAAAAAGAUAACAGAGAGAUGAUUAUAAUACCAUUUUUAAAAAUAAAUAAACAUCCGUAUUGUAAGGAGAAAACGCCACUUACAGAUUAGUGAUCGAUGACUACAAUCGUUCUUUUCAUAAGUAGGAGGGGCGGUCGGGUAGCCUAGUGGUUAAAGCGUUCGCUCGUCACGCCGAAGACCCGGGUUCGAUUCCCGACAUGGGUACAAUGUGUGAAGCCCAUUUCUGGUGUCCCCUCCGUGAUAUUGCUGGAAUAUUGCUAAAAGCUGCGUAAAACCAUACUCACUCACUCACUCAUAAGCAGGUGUUGUAAUAGGGGCGUGUUUAAAUUACUGAAUAACUAACAUCCGUAAUGUAGGGAGUAAAGACUUUCAGUUAGCGGCUGGUAAGGGGUGGCUGUAGGGGAGGAGGAGGCCACAUUAUAUAUAAUACGCUAUGUGUACACAACAGCCUAACAGGUUAUUGCAGGUAAUAGGUAUAAAAUAGCAAAGCUUAAUAUCUUAGUAUUUUUCUAAUUAUGCCUUUAUGUUUUGUAUAAUUUAGCAACAGACGGUUUAGUGUACCGCUAUGAAGUUCACACAAAAUAAAACACUUGUUUAUUUUGGACUGGUUAUUUCAUCAGAUUUAUGUACAAUAAAUGUUUAUAAACUUUGUUAUGUGUUUUGUGAUAUGUACAGUGGUGUUUAUUGCCACGACUGUUCAUGGAGUGAGAUUAUUGACGUGUAAGUUGA